GAUUAUAAGUUUUCUAAUUAUGUAAGUCAAAAGUAGAAAAAGGGACACAAACUAAGAAGGGUGCUGAGCGCUCGUCACCUGGAGGGACUUGUGCCUCUCUCAGUGGUAGUAGAGGGGCUACUUCUUCCUGCCACGGUCAUGAUUGAGAGGCAAUGGGUGGCGAGCCUACAGGGGACGUCGUCGAGGAGACAUGGGAUAACUUUAAGGGAGAAGACAGACAAGGGGAGGGGUUCCUGUGAUGGGAUCAGUCAGAUGCCUGCCUGGCCGCUCCCCGUGAGGGGACUUGGGCUCCUCUUAGCAUUGGCAGGCCGGUAUAAACUUCCGGCUCAGAUUGAGCUAUGCCUGAUGCUGCCUUAAGCCUUAUGAGGUCGCCAAGGAACCGCAGAAACUCCUGGAGGGCAGAGCUGUGUCUGCCAUCUUCAUCAUUGCAUUACCACCACCCAGCACAGUGCCUGGCACAAAAGAGUUGCUCAAUAAAUAAAUCAGGAUGAAUGAAUAAACACAUGGAUAGGCACUUUGAACUACAGAUGAGUUUAAAUACUUUGUGUUUUUCUUAGUCAAACAUGUGCAAUUAAGCAUGUGAUAAAUGAUAUGAUGACCACA
ensembl:lncRNA novel transcript